rnacentral:rRNA from 1 species
GUCUUUUUGAAUUAAAUUUAAAGUCUAACCUGCCCACUGAAUUUUUAAAUGGCCGCAGUAUUCUAACUGUGCAAAGGUAGCAUAAUCAUUAGUCUUUUAAUUGAAGGCUGGAAUGAAUGGUUGGACGAAAUAUUAACUGUUUCAUUUAAAAUUUUUAUAGAAUUUUAUUUUUUAGUCAAAAAGCUAAAAUUUAUUUAAAAGACGAGAAGACCCUAUAAAUCUUUAUAUUUUAUUUAUUUUAAUUAUAUAGAAUAAUUUUGUUAUAAUAAAAUAAAAUAUUUUAUUGGGGUGAUAUUAAAAUUUAAAAAACUUUUAAUUUUAAAACCAUUAAUUUAUGAAUAAUUGAUCCAUUAAUAAUGAUUAAAAAUUUAAGUUACUUUAGGGAUAACAGCGUAAUUUUUUUGGAGAGUUCAUAUCGAUAAAAAAGAUUGCGACCUCGAUGUUGGAUUAAGAUAUAUUUUUGGGUGUAGCCGUUCAAAUUUUAAGUCUGUUCGACUUUUAAAUUCUU